AGUUCGAAAGCUUCAGUAAGGACAUCUGCCGCUCCAUGAUCUCCAUGAUGGACGUCGACCGCUCCGGCAAACUUGGCUUGCGCGAGUUCAUCCGACUCUGGACCGACAUCCCCACCUGGAUGAACUGCUUCCAGCUCCCCGACAAGGACGGAUCCUCUAAGUUGUCCUGAGCUCCGCAGUGCUGGCGAGCGCGGGCUACAAUCUCAACAAGCACAUUUGCGACGCGCUCAUGCUGCGCUACGGCGACAAGGACGGCAACGGAACUUUCGGCGACUACAUCAAGUGCAGCGUCAAGCUCAGGAACAUGAUGGUGAACCAGGGGAGUCCGAACCACCUUCCGAGGAGGCCAUCGAGGAGUUCUACAACUCCUUGUUGGAGGAGACCGUGGAACUGCAGCGGGAUGCUCCUGCCGAGGAGGAGCCAGAGGAAGAGGAGGAGUGAAGGAUGGUGCGAUGGUGCAAACGCACCAUCAGGGAGGGGACAUUAUACUGAUGCACUUCUCUGCCGGGCCAAACUGGGCCAGAAUUACCCAGAAAAAAACAAAAGUAC
rnacentral:lncRNA from 1 species